GCGCACGGGUGAGUAACGCGUACGCAAUCUACCUCUAUCAGGGGGAUACACACGGGAAACUGUGGAUAAUCCCGCAUACAAUUCAUUACUGGCAUCGGUGAUGGAUAAAAGUUAAGGCGGAUAGAGAUGAGCGUGCGUCUGAUUAGUUAGUUGGUGAGGUAACGGCUCACCAAGGCGACGAUCAGUAGGGGGCGUGAGAGCGUGAUCCCCCACACGGGUACUGAGACACGGACCCGACUCC
rnacentral:rRNA from 1 species